UCCCUGGUGGUCUAGUGGUUAGGACUUGGUGCUUUCACCACUGUGGCCCAGGUUCAAAGCCUGGUCUGGGAA
rnacentral:tRNA from 1 species